UAAGCAAUUAUACCGUGAAACUGCGAAUGGCUCAUUAAAUCAGUUAUCGUUUAUUUGAUAGUACCUUACUACUUGGAUAACCGUGGUAAUUCUAGAGCUAAUACAUGCUAAAAACCCCGACUUCGGGAGGGGUGUAUUUAUUAGAUAAAAAACCAACGCCCUUCGGGGCUCCUUGGUGAAUCAUAAUAACUUAACGGAUCGCAUGGCCUUGCGCCGGCGACGGUUCAUUCAAAUUUCUGCCCUAUCAACUUUCGAUUGUAGGGUAUUGGCCUACAAUGGUAUCAACGGGUAACGGGGAAUUAGGGUUCGAUUCCGGAGAGGGAGCCUGAGAAACGGCUACCACAUCCAAGGAAGGCAGCAGGCGCGCAAAUUACCCAAUCCCGACACGGGGAGGUAGUGACAAUAAAUACUGAUACAGGGCUCUUUUGGGUCUUGUAAUUGGAAUGAGUACAAUUUAAAUCCCUUAACGAGGAACAAUUGGAGGGCAAGUCUGGUGCCAGCAGCCGCGGUAAUUCCAGCUCCAAUAGCGUAUAUUAAAGUUGUUGCAGUUAAAAAGCUCGUAGUUGAACCUUGGGCCUGGCUGGCCGGUCCGCCUCACCGCGUGCACUGGUCCGGCCGGGCCUUUCCUUCUGGAGAGCCGCAUGCCCUUCACUGGGCGUGUCGGGGAACCAGGACUUUUACUUUGAAAAAAUUAGAGUGUUCAAAGCAGGCCUUUGCUCGAAUACAUUAGCAUGGAAUAAUAGAAUAGGACGUGCGGUCCUAUUUUGUUGGUUUCUAGGACCGCCGUAAUGAUUAAUAGGGAUAGUCGGGGGCAUCAGUAUUCAAUUGUCAGAGGUGAAAUUCUUGGAUUUAUUGAAGACUAACUACUGCGAAAGCAUUUGCCAAGGAUGUUUUCAUUAAUCAGUGAACGAAAGUUAGGGGAUCGAAGACGAUCAGAUACCGUCGUAGUCUUAACCGUAAACUAUGCCGACUAGGGAUCGGGCGAUGUUAUUAUUUUGACUCGCUCGGCACCUUACGAGAAAUCAAAGUUUUUGGGU
rnacentral:rRNA from 1 species